CCCCCCCUUCUGAAAAACAACAAAUUAGGCUUGGGAAACCUCAAAGAAAGUCAUUAUCAUUACUGGCCAUCAAUCUUCCAUCAGAAACAAAAACCUUCUUCAUCACGCACCUUUAAUCAUCUCCUCACCUACCCAUUCCAUUCCAGAUUCAAUCUCUCUAGGGCUCUUCUUCAUCUUCUUUCGUUCAGAGAUUCUGUCCAUCUCCGAUCAACGUCCACCUCCUCCACCGCAAAAAGAAGGAAAACAUUCAUCAGAUAAGUUGUCUCCCUCCUCUUGAUUCCCUCUGUAGCUAGGAUAUGAGCAACCUUAUUUGAUUCUCCGUGAACAAAUCGAAAAACACAAGAUUUAAAUCUUGAACCUAGCUGCUUAGAAUAUCUAAUAAAGACUUCGAUUUCAGAUUUGUCUGCUUACUCUGCUUGCAGUUUACAAAUCACCGAACGAGCAUCUCCUUCAAUUACAACCCCCAGCAGUCCGAGAGUUAACCCUAGCUGAAUCGCCUGGAGGCAUGCCAUCGCUUCUGCUAUAAAAACGAGUGGUAUGUUCUCAUGCAGGACGAUUUUUAGACAAAUAACCCCUGCCUUUUCAUUUCGUACCACUAACUCAGAGCAAAACUCUGUUCUUUACCUGUUAAACGCUGCGUCAAAGUUUAUUUUAACUGUCGGCCCGUUUGGAGCUGUCCAUCUACCCGACUGUAACCUUCGCCCAGUUAAGUGGCAUUCACAAAAUAGAUGCUCCCUCGUUUCUGCUCCACUUUGAUAUCUACAACAAUUUGCAAAUCCCAUCAUUCUUCUAUACUGUAGGUUUCUAAAAGUGGGCAAAUUAUUACAAGAAAUCCCUCAGUUUGUAAUUUUAAUUUUUGGAGGUAAAUCUAAGUUCCACAUUUUCUUAGAAAACUGUCUGUAAAUUUGUUGUCUUUGAGUUUGCAUGUCUUGUAAUAGUAGUUUAUGCCCACUCCGAACGGAAUACUCCCUUGUCGCCUCUCCUUGCCAUACGAUGUGAUCUUUGUGCGCAUUCAUUGACAAAGGAAUGCAUAAAAUUCUCUCAGCAUCUCCCUCUGUGAAGGUAUUAUGAAUUGAUUCGGUUCUCCAUUUUCUUGUAUUGGAAUCAAUGAGCUCUGCAACUUUACUUGGAGUUAGAGCCAAAUUAGACUCCAUAUUUUGAAUUUUGAAAUCUUCAUCGUCAGGAACCCAAGCAUCAUUCUAGAUAGAGGCUUUCCUCCCAUUGCCGAUCCUCUAUCCCAAACCCUUCUCAAGGAGCCCUUUUGCAGCCCAUAGACUUUACCAAGUAAAAUAAGAUAAUAACAAAAUGUAUGAGCUGUCCAGUCUGGUACAAUCAACUUGUACGUACAGAGGCAGCAUGAUUCUGAUGAAAGGAAACUUGUGCUAUUUGGAUAAAUAUUAAUAUUGACGUCAAAAGAAAGAAGGGGGAGAGCUUUUGGAUUAUCUUCAACCUAUCUUUUGAAGCUUUUCGACGAUGGCGGUUUAAGUCUCCUACGGAUGAACUAACACGAUCGGGAUGCAGACCAGCUCUUGAUGAGGAGCCCUGAGUGUGACACAAGAGGGGAUAGAGAGAUUCAAGUCGAGUUGUCUAAGAAUAGUGUAGUAUGACCCGACAAAAUUCGGAGUUUAUUGUCGAUUUUGAUCUAGAAAUUGAAAUAACCGUUCGGAGGAGACUUCGAAAACAAAGGAAUGACUUUACCAAGAAACGAUGAAGUCAUACCCGCGAUGCUGAACCAAAAUGCUAAUGACCUACCGUUGCCGAAAGACGCUCAAAUACAAAAUAGGACUAUACAAGAUUUUGUAAUACCUGUCUUGGAUGACUUACAACCGAGAGCUGUUAGGCCAGGAAUCCAAGCUGAAAAUUUUGAACUCAAACCAAUAAUGUUUCAAAUGCUGGAUUUUAAUGGGCAAUAUGCUGGACUGCCACAUGAUGAUGCACGAGAACAUCUUAAAUCAUUUUUAUUGAUUUGUGCUUCCUUUAGUCAACCAGACAUUCUUGAUGACAUUUUGAAAAUACAAUUAUUUCCUUAUUCCUUGCA